UAAGCAUAUCAAUAAGCGGAGGAAAAGAAACCAACAGGGAUUGCCCUAGUAACGGCGAGUGAAGCGGCAACAGCUCAAAUUUGAAAUCUGGCGCAAGCCCGAGUUGUAAUUUGUAGAGGAUGCUUCUGGGUAGCGACCGAUCUAAGUUCCUUGGAACAGGACGUCAUAGAGGGUGAGAAUCCCGUAUGUGACCGGCCCGCACCCUUUACGUAGCUCCUUCGACGAGUCGAGUUGUUUGGGAAUGCAGCUCUAAAUGGGAGGUAAAUUUCUUCUAAAGCUAAAUACCGGCCAGAGACCGAUAGCGCACAAGUAGAGUGAUCGAAAGAUGAAAAGUACUUUGGAAAGAGAGUUAAAAAGCACGUGAAAUUGUUGAAAGGGAAGCGCCUGCAACCAGACUUCGCGGCAGUGUUCCGCCGGUCUUCUGACCGGUUCAUUCUCUGUCGCGAGGCCAUCAUCGUCUGGGCCCGCCGGAUAAGACCUUAGGAAUGUAGCUCACCUUCGGGGGAGUGUUAUAGCCUAGGGUGAUGCGGCGAGGCUCGGGCGAGGUCCGCGCUUCGGCAAGGAUGAUGGCGUAAUGGUUGUCGGCGGCCCGUCUUGAAACACGGACCAAGGAGUCUAACAUCUAUGCGAGUGUUCGGGUGUCAAACCCCUACGCGUAAUGAAAGUGAACGGAGGUGGGAACCGCAAGGUGCACCAUCGACCGAUCCUGAUGUCCUCGGAUGGAUUUGAGUAAGAGCAUAGCUGUUGGGACCCGAAAGAUGGUGAACUAUGCCUGAAUAGGGUGAAGCCAGAGGAAACUCUGGUGGAGGCUCGCAGCGGUUCUGACGUGCAAAUCGAUCGUCAAAUUUGGGUAUAGGGGCGAAAGACUAAUCGAACCAUCUAGUAGCUGGUUCCUGCCG
rnacentral:rRNA from 1 species